ACACACAAAGCUGCCUGCAAAAAGCACUCUGCACCUUACUCAUGUCUAUGUCUACACUAGCACUUAUAGGCUCUAAAGCUGUGAAGGCUAAGCAUGUAUGCAGAGAUCUGCAGGUUUCUUUGAAGCAGUGGAACCACAAUAGAGAAAAAGGGGGUUUAAGCAGCCCAAGAGAAAAACAGUGGUCAGGCCAGUAUCCCUUCGAAAGAGGUAAUCCAGACUCCUUAUUGUCAGGACCAGACUGAUUAGGGUGACCAGACAGGAAAUGUGAAAAAUCAGGACAGGGAGUGGGGGGUAAUAGGAGCCUAUAUAAGAAAAAGACCCAAAAAUCAGGACUGUCCCUAUAAAAUCGGGACAUCUGGUCACCCUAAGACUGAUAUAUUGCUCAUCUCUAUCUUUAAUGGAGAAGAGGCUGAUCCUUGUCCUCCGUUUUGAAGUUCUUCAACCAAAUUAUAAUGCAUUGCCUGGAACAGUGAAUCAGUCAGGAGCAGGGGACUGGCAGCAGGAAGAAGGCAGCAGGCUGGUUCAUCUCCUGGAGGCAGGGAAUGAAUGCCUUAACAGUGACCCCUCUGGCUGAUUAAGGCAUGGCAGCAGUGAUGAGUUUUGGAGUCCCUGAUUUCAAGGUACUUAAUGCCCUGGGCCCAGGGUAAUUCAAAGAUCAUCUAAAGCUCUGGGGUGAGGGCUCUGAUCAACAGCUCCACUCCUCAGCCACAAUGGAACUUUAUAACAUAAGACUAAAGCUCGUCUAUGCAGGAGGAGACAAAGCUUUCUCGGGGUCCAGUCUGAGACUGUGGAAUGAACUGCCACAGGAACAAAGAACCAUCACAAAUCUCACUAUCUUCUAUUCCAAGUGCAAGGCACACAUCUUCAACUGGCCUUUUCUAGCGUAAACAUAGAGCAGCAUGUACAUUUUUUUAAAAGAAUCCAAAUUUCAAAUCCACAAUACUUCCUCUGGGGAGAGAGUGAGAGAAAGAAUGAACCACACAUGACAGAUAUUAGUCACUUGACUUAAUUCAUUUCUGGAAGGUGCUUAUAUACCACAGUGAGGAGGGCAGUAUAGGAACAUAUACAAAAUAGAAUAGGUCUUUGCAAUGUUCAUUAGUCAUUUAUCUUUACAUUGCUUAAUCUAGUGAAGACCUCUUAGGGGGAAAUCAUGGUGUUAUUGAAGUCAAUAGGAGUUUUUUCAGGAUUUCACCCUCUAGAGUUUUGGGUGACUCUCAAAGUUCUACAUCACUUAAAAACUGAAAUAUUGUUCCACUCACACACCUUGUCUAUACAAUAGAAUGAAUUAUGAAAGACUUUAAUGAAAAUGUCUUGUCAUUUUAUUUCUGAAUUUUGAAAUUCAAAAUGUCAUUGAAAUUUCAAAUUUAAAUAAAUUCUUACCAUUGCUGCCAUCAUCCUAGUUAAAUGAACUGAAAUAACAUGUAUCGUUGUUAUUUUUGUAAUAAUGACCAUUCCUAAAUAUCAAACAGAUAUAUUUUCCUGAUAUCAGGCCACAUACAUCGACCACAGAGCUAAAAUAAUGAACCUUAUGUGAACCAGCCACUAUCUGGGACAAAGAUUCACACUCUUCUAUAGUAUGGCUAUACUUGGAAUUUUAGUCAUAUUUUAACACAUGUAAGCAGGGUCUGAAUGAGCUCUCCGCUGACAUCUAGUGAUGAGCUGUGGAAGAGGACUUCAGGAGCUGACCUCGUUUAAAUAGGCA